AGGCAGCCACAAGAUGGCGGCACAAUCGUUUGUCGCCCUGAUGAGAUGGCAACAGGUGUUGUACCCUCUCAUUACGUCCCGCGUCCCUGAAUUGGGGCGAAUGACUCCACACACCACAUCGUGUUGAGUGUACACAUCAGUGUGAGGACUAUUCAUGAGAGAAAUCAUGGCGUCACUGUCUGUGGUAAUCACUGAUCAUCGCAGGGAGAUCAGAGUAAUCGUUGGAGUCCCACGAUUUUCACUUCGGUCAUCAAAUGUGGGAUAUUUCAAUUCGGGAUAGUAGUGCCUGCAUCAGGUGUUAACGGAAAAAUUAUACUUCGAUGGCUGGAAAUGAGAAGUUUUGGAUUGGGAUCUUCGUCCAUUGGAUGCAUAUUCUUAAAUAUUUCCACUGGGUAUUCAAACCUAGAAUCAUAAAGUCCCAUUUCCUCUCCUUCCAUUGCGCCAAUAAUCUCAAAUGCCCAUCCCAUCAAUAUCCAAUUGUUGAGGCUUUAUCCAUAACCAAGAAGGACUCGGUUCAUCAAUUGUCUUCGCAGUAGCACAACAUCUCCAAGCGAUAAUAACAGUGAUCAAUCGAUUUGGGUCAACGAUUUGUCAUCAGGUGCACAUGCACGAGAGGAAAUAUCAUAGACAUUUCGAUUCUUCCUCCAAUCAAUGGAAGAGUGGGCGGCGGUGCAACAAAAGGAGGUGGCCGCAUUGGCAAAAGUCAAUCAGUAGCUCCGAGGGGAACAAUUACUCGGCCGAGUGAACGUAGCUGAUGAUACGAUGUUGGUAGAUGUGAAUUGUUGGUGGAUCUAGUGUCGGUUGAAGACGAGCAGAAGCUUUACGAGCCGCAAGAUGACAGGGCGCAAUAUCACCAUCUUCACCACUUCCGGCUAUUCUGGCUUUUGCGACUCCUCAUUUAGCUUUCAGCCUUUUUAUCUAGUUCAUUUGACGUUAUGAAAGUGCAUAACCCUUGAUAUUUCACAUCCUACUUCUUGCAGAGUAUUCGCUUCUACUUGUGAAGAGUUUCAUUUGGUGAAGAUGGAAAUUAUUGAAUCGGAAUUUUUGGAGUGCGAUGGGGGGUAGAAAAGUUUUUGUCGUUUGAAGAUCAGAAAUAUUCGGAGUAAUUAUCGAAGUUCUUCGAAAGAUAUUUCUGGUGAUCCCGAAAGAUUCUUCGGAAGAUCUUCGAAAUUUUUGGGGAAAGAUGUGGUCGGAAGAGAGAUUUUUAAGAGUUUUGUGAAGCGAAAUUUGGAAGAUCUUCAGCAAAAAAUAUUGUCCCGAAAAUCUUCCAAAGAAUUUUUUUCGGUCACCGGGGAGAUCCGAAGAUCUUUCGAUGAUUCUUCUGGAGAAUUUUAGAAGAUCUUCGGCUGGUUUGGGGGAUUCGAAGCUGGAUUUUUUGCGAAGAUCUUUUGAUGAUCCCCUGAGAGAUCUUCCGCAGACAAUUUUUCGUCGUGGGCUCUUCGACCUCACGACUCGUCGGACUGAAAAUCGUGUAAAAAAAUUCUGUCAGUUGAAGAUCUUUCAUAAAUCUUCAGAAAAAUCAUCGAAAAGUAUUCACAAGAUCUGGCAGAUCCCCUAAAAAGAUCGGUGGCCCCUAAAUAUUCCUUCGAAGAUCAUCGAAAAUUAAUUUUCUGCCAAAGAUCUUCCAGAAUUCCAUAGAUCUUCCAUAGAAAAUUCACUCUCUGCCACAGAUCUUCCAAAAUUCUUCAGAAGAAUCAUCGAAACACCUUCGAAAGAUGUCUGUUGUCACCUAAAAAAAUUCAUCCAAAGAUUUUAGGUGACAAUAUUUGUCUCUGAAGAGCUUCUCCAUUUCCCUUCAAAAACUCUUCUUCAAAAACUCUCUUCAAUACAUUUCUCCGCACAAAAAUUGUUUUCAAUCUCCAAUUAAUGCAAAUUCAUUAACACUCGGCUAUUGACACAACAAAUCCACCGACAAAUCAUGUUAACGAGACAACAUACUCCCGACAUAAUCCCGGACAUCUUCGUCAGCUCAUCGACA